CUCCGCCCAGGAAGAGGCGCGGCCCGUGAGGGGCCUCCCCUGCCGCGCUUUAUUGCGCGCGCGCGGCGGCCGCUGCUGACGCGCCCCGGGCCAGGGGCUGCCGCGGCGACCCCGUGGGCGGCUCGGGCCCUGUGGGGGCGAGGUCCGGGGAAAAUGAGAUUUCCCAUUUAAUUGCGCGUUUGGUGGCCGCAUUUAGUGACAGACCGUUUGACCACCCUAGGGAAAAAACCUCUGAACACACCCUCUGUCUAAACAGGAAGGGCUUGUAACAGAACGGGUUGUAAACGGUCCUGUUGUAAGUUGACUGCAUCGCUAUCCCAAUUAAAUGGACCUUGUCUGGAGUUGUAAUUCAAGUUCUCCUUAAAAACUACGUUGGCUGGAGAAAAUGAGGCUGGGCGCUUAACGUGUGGAAUGUCAUUACUGAGGAUCAAACUGCAUUUUUUUCCUAGUGGUACGGAGGUGUGCGUCUUGGCACUCAAAGGUUUAAGGUUUCUGGCAGUUUCUAAGACUUUCCAUUCCCCAACUGAGAAGAGAUUGAAGUAUUUUUUUAAGCUGUCUGGGUUGAAAAAUACUGCAAAUUUGUGACAGUUCCCUGAGCAAGUAGGUCAGUUGUUACAGAAUCUCCAUAGAUAAGUCUGGGUAGUACUUCCUUUAUUGAUGCUUAAUACAUUACAGAAAUGUAAUUCCAAGCAAUUGUCAGAGAUGCACUUUAUAUAAAUAUGUUCAUGCAUAUGUUUCAGAUAGAGCUUAUUUCAAAAUCAUUAUCAGUGCACUCAUAUUCUCUUUCUAAAUGAAAUCCAUAUUCCAAAACUACAAAAAUCCUUUUAAAAUCCCUUUUUUCAGCUAUUCUGGCAGAUUCUAAUUAGCUUAAGUUGAGAGAACUUUAACUGGAGCUUCCAGAUGUUUUGUUAUAUAUUCUAGAAAAUGAAACAGAUAGUAUUAUUCUACGUAUAAGAACCUUACAUAAAAUUUUGUUAUGCUUUCACUAGUACAUCUUAUCCAAACAUGGUUAGGAGAGAUGUAGAUGCUAUUUCUGCUAUGAAUAUUCUUAUCCUUUCUCCUUGCAUCUCUCAGUGGAGGGUCCAAAAUAAAAAUGAACUCUGAAAUUCAUGAAGAAGAGCCUUGUGAUGUUAGAACUGACUGGGAUACCCUCCUUCAGAUAAAGCCUAUAACAGUACAUACAAAAUUCUGAGCUACUGGUCUGCUCUCUGAAAACAGAGCAAGCAAAACAGUGCUUAAAUUUUGUAAUUAUCAGUCCCUGACACAGUACAAAAUUAGCUUGGAAAAUAAAUGAAUUUGUAUUUCAAGAAGAAUAGGCAAAACCAACACAACAAUCCCAGACCCCCGAAAAUCUGAUGCUGAAAGCUUUGGAUCACACAUGCUGCCACUAAAAGGCUGGAAGCAAAUAAUGACUAUUUUAGUCAAACCAUUCAAAAUUUAAAAGUGUUAAGGAACGACUCCCUCUCCUAUAAUAAAAACCCUCAGAGCUGUUGAGAAAGAAAAAGUUAAAUAAAAGGAGUAGGCGUGCAGAAAGGGAAUCCUUGUACAAGCACUGUCCAAAAAUCAUCUCUCUAAGCAAUGGCAAUAAAGACCUGGAUCUUACAAAUUGCUGUAGGCCUAGAGAAAACUUUAACUGUAUUUGAAGUGAAUAAUACAUGUACAAGUUACUUUUCAAUUUUGUUUAGCUGUUUUUCCUUGUUAUUAACUGUAUUUGUGCGUGUAAAUAAAGCUUCCGUAAGUAAAUUCUUUCACUUCCACCUUGAUUGUCAGGUUAACUAGCAAAACACAAGGCAUUAUGCAGGGUCUUUUGAGGUAAACUUAAAUUCCAGGUUACCUAAAUGUAAAAUGAUGAAGCAAUAAGAGUGACUGUUAACCAUUUGUCUAAAACUCUAUUUUUGAUCUUCCCAUGAGGAUUAAAAAGCAUUUACUGGGUAAUGUUAAUUGCAGGUACCAGUAGAAAAAUACUGGCAAUUCAGAAGGAAGUUACAGUAAAAGCUGUUUUAGAGGAUCAGGAGAAAAGUCUUUUCAUUACAAAAAGUCACCUUUUAGGCAGACUAGGUGGUCUGAUAGAGGUGGACAUCUCUGGUAUCUGCUGCGCUUGCAGGGGAAGGGAAUUGAAAUCACACGAGGUAAAAGAAGGAAGCAUUAUACAGGUUUCAUCAGCUUUCCUUAAAUGGAACCUUAAAGACUUCAAAAAUAAUGUUGGCCACAGAGCUAACAAUUAUUUGAUAAAAAUAGAAUAGUUCUAAGUUUUAAGUAGUUUAUGAGAAGUGAAAUUUAACUUCAGAUUCAACAACUCCUCUAGCACUGGUAAAACUUGCCUCUGGAAAUCUAAAGCCCUGGAAACUAAAGAGAAAGCUUGAGCAAAGAAGAAGUACCCGUGGCUGAGGAGAACCAGGUUAAAGGAAUGGUUCAGAAGGUCACAGGACAUUAUGGGAUGUUUCUGUGAGCGUUGAGGGAUCUAGCCAGUGUACUGUGUGACCACUUCUAAUUAUCUUUCAAAGUCAUAGUGUUUGGGGAGGGGAAUGUCACCCCUAGAUUCCAGAAGGGCAGGAAAGGAGCAUUGGUAAAAUUAGAGGGAAAUCAGCCCCACCUCAGUACCUGGGAAGGUGAUGGAGCAAAUUCCCCUGACAGCCAUUUUCAAGCUUGCUGACAAGAAGAAGAAGACUGGGAGUUGUGAAUAUGGAUUUCUAAAGAGAAAACUGUGCCUGACCACCUGGUAGUCUUCUGCUGCUCUGAAAUGACUGGCUCAUGAGCAUGGGGAGAGCAGCUAAUACUGUUUAUCUUGACAUUCUCAAGGCUUUUGUACCUUUGUCUCAUAAUAUCCCUUAAAGUAUUUUUCUUUGACUGCUCUUUUGAAAGCAAUACUAGAAUGCCACUAAAAGCCAAUAUAUUUGUAUAGCCUGUGCUACCUAAGUUGUUUUUAACAGUAACUUUACACCGCUUUCCUUGUUGUAUAACCAAGGUGUUAGUGUUUUGUGUAGAUUAGUGAUGCAGAACACAGGAAACCAAUUUCUCUUCUACAACAUGAAUGUUCCUUCUCUUGUGAAUUAAUCAAGAGGCAUAAUCUUCAAAUGCCAAUCUCCUACUACUCACGGUAGACUGCAGGUUCUAACUACUGGUAAUGAUACUCUUCUGUUCUGUUUGUGUUCACACUCAUGUUCCAGUUUCACAGACAUAUGUUUGUCAGAUUAACGUGAAUUAACUUUCGAAUACAGACAAAUCAGAAAAUGUUAACUUCAGAACAUUUCAAAACCAACAGACUUUAUUCUAAACUCCAGCACAACCAUGUGCUUCCCAAGUACAAGAAGUGGCUUUCAUCCCCUUUCCAUUGUUAUACCUUUAAGGUUUAUCAGGUAACUGCUCUCAUUUUUAUGCAUGCCUUAGUAUAAUUUUUGGAGUUUUUUUUAAGAGGACUCAUGUAGAACAGAAAAACAUCUUACAGAAAAAAACCUCUUAGUUCUGUGUAGUAAUCUCCGAUCCACCACAUCUAUAAUCCCAAAAGUUCUAUAAAAUCAUUUUAAAAGAAAGUAUAAAACCAUUUAUAUACCUACCCAGAAAAAUUAUGAAAAUAUUUUUCCCAGAUAAAAUUUCUAGUGUAGUAAUUGUUUUCCCAGAUUCAAGUUUACACAUCUAGAAAUAUUAAAAUCCUGCCUAUGAUGAGAUUCACAGAUGAAUGCUACAUGGUCAGUGUAAGCAGCUGAAACCAGUUUAAACUUGCUGCCUCUGGAUGGCAGUCAGCUGUACAAGUUAGCACUGGUAAACCAAAACAGCUGUGAGAUUUCUGCAUCUGCUUUUUAUCUGUUUUACAGCAAACACAUGAUUGCUGUAUUGAGCAUAGCAGUUUCAAUUAGAAGAGUCCCAUUAGCAGCUCUAGGAGUGUGUUUUACAAUGACAUUGUUCUUCCCAUAAAAUUGCUCGUAUCAAAAAUGGAGUAUCUCUUCUUGACUUACAAUUAUUUUUAAACUUACUUCAAAAUAAGAUGAGGGGGUUAGCUCACUACCUGAGAUAGUGUUGCUGACUCUGAAUCUCCAAGCACAUAUCAACAAAGGAGGAAUAUCUCCACCACUGAGAGACUGAGGGAAAAUGCGCAAAAGCAGUUAAGAUUUGAGAAUCUUAAUCUGAAAACAAAUUCUCCAUCCAGUAACCUUUCAGGGUUUCUACUAAAUUUCUACUUAUGAAAUUUACUAUCUGUUCUAUAGAGAACACUUCUUGGAUUACAGAAGCAUUUUUUCUUCAAAAGGGGAUUUCAGAAAACCGUUUUUAAAAGCCAUAUAAAAGUCUACAUGUCAGUAGAUAAACUAAUAGUUUUAUGAUAUACUUUUAAUACCCAUAUGUGUGACUAUGUAUGUGUAGGGGAAUGAAAGGAAAAUGUAAAAACUCAACUUUUUUCUUUUCUUUUUUUUUUUUUUUUUAAUUAAACUGGGUGUCUGCUGGGAGAUCUGCUACCUCCUGUUUUUCUGGCAGGACAUGCAACUGGAACUGUUUGGGUAGGUGCCCACUGAAAUGAAAAAAGGCAUCUUUCUUCUUUGCCGUGAAGUUAUCCUGCUGGGAAUCACAGCAUGUAAUUCUACAUAAGGAGAUAAUGUUUUUAAACCUCAAAAACCCCUGUCUGAACAAGAGCAACCACUGCCUGUGCUGAUACCCUGCUUCCUGGAAGUGGCUGGACAUCAUUUGCUGAGAACAUUGCAAAAUCAAGCAUAGCAAAGGCAUUUUGGAAGAGAUGAUAUUCAUUAAAAAAAUCCACAGAAGUCUGAGUGGCUCAAGGCAGAGUGGGACUGUCAUUACAUCAUCACUGGGACUAUCACAGGUAAAAAGAUU